rnacentral:sRNA from 1 species
GAAGUCAAGUGUUUGUUAGGAGUACCAAGUGUCACGGGCCAUGUGCAACUCCAAAUCAAAUUAAUAACAUCUAGGAGUCGGAUAUCAUUAAAAUCAUAAUUAACAGACAAAUCAUUCUUUGACAAAUUCCUGCACUGCUCUGCUUCUAUUAACAAUUAACACUAGUUUCUGCUUCCGCUGUUUCCAAAUAUAUGAUACAACAUAGUCGAAAAACCCUACCGCCUUUCGGUCUCAUCGGAACCAAGUAAUGGGCGUGGUGGUGUUUUGUGGAGGUUGUGGAAUCAUACAAUGUUGCUGCUGCCACUGAGGAAACCCUUCAAUACUCGUCCACAUUCCUCCGCUGCACCCGUUAGCCAUCCCUUGUCCUUCUCUGCUCCCUUCUUCAAUCUCCAUUGUUGCUGUUCCCAUCUCCUCCGGGGCCUCAGAUUGCGAAACCUCCAUCGAUGGCCUAGGCCC